GUCAGCGAUUAUGGCAAAGGUGGUACACCUGGUCCCAUUCCGAACCCAGAAGUUAAGCCCUUUAGCGCCGAUGGUACUGCGGAGUAAGUCCGUGGGAGAGCAGGACGUCGCUGACC
rfam:Atopobium deltae strain DNF00019 genomic scaffold Scaffold91, whole genome shotgun sequence.